UGCAAGUCGAACGGUGAAGCCCAGCUUGCUGGGUGGAUCAGUGGCGAACGGGUGAGUAACACGUGAGCAACCUGCCCCUGACUCUGGGAUAAGCGCUGGAAACGGCGUCUAAUACUGGAUACGAACCACGAAGGCAUCUUCAGUGGUUGGAAAGAUUUUUCGGUUGGGGAUGGGCUCGCGGCCUAUCAGCUUGUUGGUGAGGUAAUGGCUCACCAAGGCGUCGACGGGUAGCCGGCCUGAGAGGGUGACCGGCCACACUGGGACUGAGACACGGCCCAGACUCCUACGGGAGGCAGCAGUGGGGAAUAUUGCACAAUGGGCGGAAGCCUGAUGCAGCAACGCCGCGUGAGGGAUGACGGCCUUCGGGUUGUAAACCUCUUUUAGCAGGGAAGAAGCGAAAGUGACGGUACCUGCAGAAAAAGCGCCGGCUAACUACGUGCCAGCAGCCGCGGUAAUACGUAGGGCGCAAGCGUUAUCCGGAAUUAUUGGGCGUAAAGAGCUCGUAGGCGGUUUGUCGCGUCUGCUGUGAAAUCUGGGGGCUCAACCCCCAGCCUGCAGUGGGUACGGGCAGACUAGAGUGCGGUAGGGGAGAUUGGAAUUCCUGGUGUAGCGGUGGAAUGCGCAGAUAUCAGGAGGAACACCGAUGGCGAAGGCAGAUCUCUGGGCCGUAACUGACGCUGAGGAGCGAAAGGGUGGGGAGCAAACAGGCUUAGAUACCCUGGUAGUCCACCCCGUAAACGUUGGGAACUAGUUGUGGGGUCCAUUCCACGGAUUCCGUGACGCAGCUAACGCAUUAAGUUCCCCGCCUGGGGAGUACGGCCGCAAGGCUAAACUCAAAGGAAUUGACGGGGACCCGCACAAGCGGCGGAGCAUGCGGAUUAAUUCGAUGCAACGCGAAGAACCUUACCAAGGCUUGACAUAUACGAGAACGGGCCAGAAAUGGUCAACUCUUUGGACACUCGUAAACAG
rnacentral:rRNA from 1 species